rnacentral:rRNA from 1 species
GACGAACCGUCCUAACGUUGUUCGGAAUCACUGGGCUUAAAGGGCGCGUAGGCGGGCAUGCAAGUCCGGGGUGAAAGCUUUCGGCUUAACCGGAAGAGGGCCUUGGAUACUGCAUGUCUAGAGGGAGGUAGGGGUCUGUGGAACUUCGGGUGGAGCGGUGAAAUGCGUUGAUAUCCGAAGGAACGCCGGUGGCGAAAGCGACGGACUGGACCUCUUCUGACGCUGAGGCGCGAAAGCCAGGGGAGCAAACGGG